GUGAGGAAUAUUGCGCAAUGGAGGCAACUCUGACGCAGCCAUGCCGCGUGCAGGAAGAAGGCGCUACGCGUUGUAAACUGCUUUUAACCGGGAAGAAACCCCAGGACGUGUCCUGGGUUGACGGUACCGGAGGAAUAAGCACCGGCUAACUUCGUGCCAGCAGCCGCGGUAAUACGAAGGGUGCAAGCGUUAUCCGGAUUCAUUGGGUUUAAAGGGUGCGUAGGCGGAGCGUUAAGUCAGUGGUGAAAUCCUGCAGCUUAACUGUAGACUUGCCAUUGAUACUGGCGCUCUUGAGUGCGCUUGAAAUGGGCGGAAUGUGCCGUGUAGCGGUGAAAUGCUUAGAUAUGGCACAGAACACCAAUUGCGAAGGCAGCUCACUAAGGCGAUACUGACGCUGAGGCACGAAAGCGUGGGGAUCGAACAGGAUUAGAUACCCUGGUAGUCC
rnacentral:rRNA from 1 species